CAGGGGCACUCCCGUCCGCUCCUCUGGGUCAACUGUUCACCCAGAGGGCAGCCCUGUGCCCAGGACUCAGGGACUGGGUGAAUCUGCCCCUGUAGGUGACAGGAAAUUGCAGACGAGCCCGCAAGCCUGUUCCGGAGCCUGAGCAAAGAGGAACAGUUGUGUUUAAAGAAAGACUCGGCCUGUCGGAGGGGCGGUGCUCAGCUUGGGAAUGAGGAAUGUGAAGAGCCCGCCUGCGGCUCGUGUGGGGAGGGUGCUCUUGGAGACGGGGCCUCCAGCACCUCUUCCCCAGGGAACACAGAGGCACUUGCUCAUCUCUUGGCAGGCUCAGGGCCCACAGCUGAGAUCAGGGCUGUGCAGACCCGGACACAAGCCUGUGAGGACAACACAGCCCCACUGCGACCCCCAUCAGCUGGGCGGACAUCAGAAGACAGUAAUGCAGCUCCCCGCGAUGCGGCCUGCCCGUGAGUGUUCCUAAUGCCCUGCCUGACAACUGCCUGACACCUGCCCAUGGAACGUUCCCUUAUGUUGAGCAAAAGGUCGGAGAACCACCAACGCGGCCGGGAGACCAGGCCAGGUGGGUCGGGCCCCUGGAGCUCUGGGUGGGCUCAGCCUCCUGCAGGACCUGGGGCCUGCUGUGGGUGGGGGAGGCUCCAGCCCACUCCGAGGGUCCCCUGGGGGGCUGCGGG
ensembl:lincRNA